AAAAUUAGUUUUUUUUAUAUAGCAUGAAAUUUGUCACUGGACCUACAUCAACAUUCAACGUAUCGAGCAUCGAAGGGGCAAGGGAAAUUAUGUCAUCUCAUUUUCAAGACUACUAAUUGGAUGGAAUGGUUGGUAGAGCAUUGAAGGGGCAAGGGCAAUUAUGUAUCGUGAAAUUUAUCACUGGACCUACAUCAGCAUUCAACACAAGACUACUGAUUACUGGGAAGUGACACUGACCAUUGCCGUGUUUGUGGGUGCAUAUGAAUGUUUUGAAGUUUGGUCAUGGCUGAAAGAGAUUAGAGUUAAAAGGAUUUUGGAGUUGAUCUGUAAUCUAAUUCGUGCUGGUUAUUCUGAAUAUUCAUGCUCUCUAAGGACAAAUUCAAUUCUCAAUUAAGUACAGUCUCUAGGGGAUAAUUUAAUGGGUUGUAAUUUAAUUCACAUUCUCGGUAGUCUAUUUAACCAAAACAUACAUACUCCUUACUUGCUUAGGUUUAUUAAACACUAUUUUCUUUCUUUAUGUAGAGACCAAGAUACAUGCGUAUACUUGUAUCACUAAUUUAACAACUAUAUGUUACUUUACAAAAUUACAACUAUCCGGUUUCUUAAUAUAUGUAAAAAGAUAAUCAAUCACUUCCUGAAAGAGUAAAACAUAGUGAAAAUAUAAACACUAAAGAGUAGAAGAGACCAAGACCAUAAGCGCCAACACGGUAUGAAUCGCCAAUGAGGUACCACAAGAGAGCAGCCCGAGACGGAGCUGAAUAACUUCAACCAUUGACAACAGAAGGAACACACAGUCCAAGAUGGACCACCCACCUUCUGCACCAACCACACCGAGACGAAGAAGAUCACUGUUGAUAUUUGCUUUACAAACCUCGUACGUUUCUUUGCUGCUCAACAAGUUGAUGGUUAGCUUCAGCCCUUGAGCCACGAGGGAGGAGAAGAGGAAGAAUGCAAAUGAGAUCACUUCGAACAUAACAAGGUCUCGAAGUCACAGAUUCAUGUCGCUCGUCCUCCUCCAGAAGGUCGCUGGCAAGACCUAAAUGCUUCCACGUUAUUGGCCUAGGAUUACUGAUCAGGAGCUGCAACAAGUAUAGUAUCUCAUUUAUUCCAAAAUUAUAGCACUGUUUGAGAAAUUUCUUAGUGCAAGAGAUGUUGGUUGUAUCUGUCGACUGGUUCUUCCCAAAGCAUGUGCAGAGGCAUACUUCCCCAGAAUCUCUCAACCCCCGUUAAAGAUACAAGACAUAAAAGAGAACGAAUGGGUGUUCUAGUUCAGGUUUUAGCCGAAUACAAUGGAAUGAAGAAUGCAAAAAGCAUUCUUUGAUUAAUAUGAAAUAAAACGUGAUUCUUUACAAAUGAUGGUUGCCUAAAUAUAUAGGCUACCAAAACAAAGAUUCUAAAGUUAUCUCCUAACUAAUCUGUAUUUUAUCUAGAACUAGGGUCGGUCCGCCCUACGGGCGGAAAAUUAUAGAAAAACUAUUUUAUAUGAAUUUAAAUUAAUUUUAUGAAGCAUUUUUUUAAAUUAUAGAGUGAAAAUGAUAUUAUAAACAAACAAAAAAAUAGAAUUCAAAAAUUAUGUUGUUAUUUUUAAUAAAUAUUUUUGGACUUAAUAAAAUGAUAGUAACCUUCGCGAUAGGAACAAUCUAAUAUAGUAGGAUUAAUGAUGUCCUUCAUGUACAUAUAAUUAUGCAAUGAUCAUGCCGGAGAAAUAUGUUAAGUAAAAACUUAUAUCAUCUAAGCCAAAACAAUCUUUUGUUAGUGUGACCUUUUGUUAGCUUCGUCUAUGUAUGUUUUAAUUAAAAUGUGAUAGUUUUCUCCUAAUGAAAGUCAUACUUCAACCUCCCUGCCACUUUUUAAACUGAAAACGGUAUUUCAUUAUUAACUGGUUUUGU